GGCAGUCUAUGUAUCAAAAGCAAGCUAAUACCUUUUCAUCUAAAAUUGGAAACUCGUUCUAAAUCAUGUCAUACUGCUACGUAAUUGAAUUUAACCUGAAAUCUAAAGCAGUUAGACAACUUCCAGGUUGAAGCAAUACCAUUUUCACUUAUACCUAAUCAUCUCAGCUUAUCAUGGUAGACCCCAAAUCAUAAUAGCUAGGACCCAAUCCUGUACUGCCCCUGUAAAGGCCUUAAUUGCAGAAUGAAUAAAUUCUCAUGACUACACAUCUAAUUUAAGUUCUCUAGACGGUUAUUUAAUAUUAACAAUAUGUCUAAUCCCUGAAGGGUUAAGAAUCCCUGAAGGGUUAAGGUUUUUAUUUGGCCAAGGAUUCUUCAUAGGAUGCAAACUUCAUCUAAUGAUGUAUGUGUUAUGUGCCUUAAUAGCUGUGAGACUUGUGGCCAUCUUUUCUCAAAUUGCAUUUGUUAGUAGGUGUCUUUGAAAUUGGCUAUUACACAUGUCAAUUCAUUUCAAUCGUUCUAGGAUGAGAAAGGAGGCGAAGGUCCUGUGGAGAAGCACAAUUUUCGUAGCCAUCUGGUGUGUUUGGACAAUGAAAAAACGCAAACACUUUUAGCAGUUUAUGAGGAUGCAUUAUCCUCCUUGAGCUUCUUGUCUGAAAUUU
rnacentral:misc_RNA from 1 species